AUUCAAGAGAAAAUUUAAAAGUUGAGUAAUUAAGUGGUGACUUUGCAUUAGUUUAAUUUUUAUAUUUUAAUUUGAGUUAUUAUACUGUUAUUUCAGGUAAUGACGUGGAAGUUUAGAGAUGCCCAUUAAUUUAGCCAGACUUUUAUCCAUGGAGCAGUAAGUGGAUACGGACUUUUUUUCAGAAAUUAAUAUUUAUUAAAUUUAUGUUAUAUGAAAAAAUUUAUUAUUUCAUACAAUUGAUUUGACAUCAUAAUUUUUAGAAUAAAGUUGAUUUAUAAACAGUCAUUUUUAAAAUUAAAUUUAGUUCAGUUAAAUCGUUUCAUUGGCAUACUAAUUUAGUAUUAAAUAUUUCAGUAUAGUUAAAGUUAUUUUUAAAAUCACCAGAAAGUACUCAAGUGAUUUGAUCCUAGUCUGUACUGGUGUGAAUGUGUUUCCACAAUGUAUGAUCAGUUAUGGUGAUUUCACCAGCUCUACACUAUUGCAAAUGUGUUUCCAUAGUGUAUGACAAGAAUUACAUAAUUUCAACUCUGCGCGCAUAUGACCAGAAUUUAAGAAUUACAGAAUUGAAUAACUUUCCCAUGUAUAUCGGUACUAACCGAUACAUGAGUAAGGUUAUUCCGAGUACCUUGUUGGUGUGAUUUUUCAAUAUUUCUACAGCUUAUCAAAUUUCAGAUUAUAAAAUUCAAUUUAUUAAGCUUUCAGCUUAUAGUAUUGAGCAGCAGCAAUAUUUCAUAGAUUUUCAUGGUAUUAUAUUAUUUAUAGUCAUUAUAUUUUACAAUUGCUUAUCUAGAAUUAAGAACAAAUGAUUUUAUGAUGCAAUCAUGUUUGGUUUUAAAAGUGUUACCAAAUUUCAGAAUUUCUAAAAGUUUUAGUAGUGCAAGAAUUUUCAGAAAAUAUGCAUAAAUGAGAAAAGUUUACUUAUUUGUAAAAUAUCCACACGCUGAAUUUUAAGCUCAUAUAUUUUUUUUCACCUUUUUCUUUAUCGAACAAAUAGCAGCCGAAUUGAGCAGCUUUGGAGCCUGUCGAACCACCGAUUUGAGCCACUCGUCAUAGGCUGUAUGACAUCCUUUAUCAGAUUAUACAUUAUGUGUUUUUUUGGGAUACAUGUAGUUUAAAUAAGAAAAGUUCAUUAUGGGCUCAUUAAAUAGAUGGUAUUUUUAGUAUAUUUAAGGAUUAUUGGUUAUAGAGCAAGUAAAUGUUGAUUUGCCAACAUUUGAUUUGAAUAGUUUAUAUUUUGAAGAACU
rnacentral:lncRNA from 1 species